rnacentral:rRNA from 1 species
GACGAAGGUGGCGAGCGUUGUUCGGAAUCAUUGGGCUUAAAGAGCACGUAGGCGGCCCGUCAAGCGUCUUGUGAAAGCCCUCGGCUCAACCGAGGAAUUGCUUGGCGAACUGGCGGGCUUGAGGCAGGUAGGGGCGCGUGGAACUCUUGGUGGAGCGGUGGAAUGCGUAGAUAUCAAGAGGAACGCCGGAGGCGAAGGCGACGCGCUGGGCCUGACCUGACGCUGAGGUGCGAAAGCCAGGGGAGCGAACGGGAUUAGAUACCCGCGUA